CCAAAGACCUAUCUAAAACCAAAGAACAGAAAAGCAACCAACUGCUCUGUUUUCUGUACUGCACUGAAGAACAUUUUCUGCACCUUCUCUGAUUUUAAUCUGAAUCAUCACCCCAUUGAGAAGAGGGAAAACUUCUCUUCUGAGUGUAGCAAUGCUCUGUGAUUGGGCUGACACAGAUAACAUUGGAUCUACAGGAACCAGAAAAUUCCAAGUGAAAGUAGCUGAAGUGAAAGAACAGCUCUGACUCAUUUCCUGACCUGAUCGAGAUACAGUAGGAGACAACAUCUUCCCAAGUGUGGUUAUUUACCAUCUCUUGUUACAGGCUUUUUUAAGAAAUAUGAAGGUUUAGCAAGGCCUUGGCAAUGAAAAGGAGAAUUUAAGCUCAUCUAGGCUUUUGUAUCCCAAUAUUUACCAUGCUGUGAGUAUUGUUUAUACAUUUCUAAAUGUUUAUGUCUUUCUGUUUCAUUUUUCUCCCAAGAAAAGUGAGUAUUUUUCAGAACAAU
rnacentral:lncRNA from 1 species